rnacentral:rRNA from 1 species
GUCUACGGCCAUACCACCCUGAACAAGCCCGAACUCAUCUGAUCUCGGAAGCUAAGCAGGGUCGGACCUGGUUAUUACUUAGAUGAGAGACCACCUAGGAAGACCAGGUGCUGUAGGCA